rnacentral:rRNA from 1 species
UGAUCCUGGCUCAGGACGAACGCUGGCGGCGUGCCUAACACAUGCAAGUCGAACGAAGCUCUGUGAUACAAGACUUCGGUCAAGUUGAACGGAUGACUUAGUGGCGGACGGGUGAGUAACGCGUGAGGAACCUGCCUUUCAGUGGGGGACAACAGUUGGAAACGACUGCUAAUACCGCAUAAUGUAUUCUGACCGCAUGAUCGGAAUACCAAAGAUUUAUUGCUGAAAGAUGGCCUCGCGUCUGAUUAGAUAGUUGGUGAGGUAACGGCCCACCAAGUCGACGAUCAGUAGCCGGACUGAGAGGUUGAACGGCCACAUUGGGACUGAGACACGGCCCAGACUCCUACGGGAGGCAGCAGUGGGGAAUAUUGCGCAAUGGGGGCAACCCUGACGCAGCAACGCCGCGUGCAGGAAGAAGGUCUUCGGAUUGUAAACUGUUGUCGCAAGGGAAGAAGACAGUGACGGUACCUUGUGAGAAAGUCACGGCUAACUACGUGCCAGCAGCCGCGGUAAUACGUAGGUGACAAGCGUUGUCCGGAUUUACUGGGUGUAAAGGGCGCGUAGGCGGACUGUCAAGUCAGUCGUGAAAUACCGGGGCUUAACCCCGGGGCUGCGAUUGAAACUGACAGCCUUGAGUAUCGGAGAGGAAAGCGGAAUUCCUAGUGUAGCGGUGAAAUGCGUAGAUAUUAGGAGGAACACCAGUGGCGAAGGCGGCUUUCUGGACGACAACUGACGCUGAGGCGCGAAAGUGUGGGGAGCAAACAGGAUUAGAUACCCUGGUAGUCCACACCGUAAACGAUGGAUACUAGGUGUAGGAGGUAUCGACCCCUUCUGUGCCGCAGUUAACACAAUAAGUAUCCCACCUGGGGAGUACGACCGCAAGGUUGAAACUCAAAGGAAUUGACGGGGGCCCGCACAAGCAGUGGAGUAUGUGGUUUAAUUCGAAGCAACGCGAAGAACCUUACCAGGUCUUGACAU